rnacentral:lncRNA from 1 species
CCAAAUCCUAGCCCAAUAGCAGAAACCCUAGCCCAAAUAAAAAAAAACAAAAUGUUUGCAGCAGAAAACCCUAGGCGCAGCAUGCCUAGGGCGCGCCGCUCCAGCCUCUGCCCAACCCCUCGCACGCCUCUGCUCCGCGCCAGCCUCCACGACGCCCAUACCGUCUGACACUCACACCACCAACACCGGCCAUGCCCUGCAAUAGCAAUAAACACGCAGUAGAGAGAAAAAUAAAAAAAAAACAUAAACAAU